GUCAGUGUGGCCGAGUGGUUAAGGCGAUGGUCUAGAAAACCAUUUCGUUCGCGAGCAGAGGUUCGAAUCCUCUCGCUGACG
rnacentral:tRNA from 1 species